rnacentral:lncRNA from 1 species
AAAGAGUGGGAGAGUGAGAUACCAAGGCAAAUGGGCCUGUUCAGACCACUUGAUUGAUUCCUCAUAAUACAAGGAAGAUGGUAACAGAAACUGUGGUAAUGCCUCAGGAAAGUUUGGAGGUUGUGGGUGAUGAUAUAUAUAUAUAUUGAGAAAAAUUAGCUGAAUUUAUUAUAUUCCAUUUGAUUGAAAUAUAUGGGUUUGGAGCAAAUAAUUUUUAUAUUUAAUGCUUUAUUUUUAAUCAAUCUAUAUGUUUUUAUAAGAAUUUUUAAAAAUAUCCCUAAG